GUCCACGCCCUAAACGAUGUCGACUAGUUGUCGGGACUUAAUUGUCUUGGUAACGCAGCUAACGCGUGAAGUCGACCGCCUGGGGAGUACGGUCGCAAGAUUAAAACUCAAAGGAAUUGACGGGGACCCGCACAAGCGGUGGAUGAUGUGGAUUAAUUCGAUGCAACGCGAAAACCUUACCUACCCUUGACAUGGCCCGGAUCCCUGAGAGAUUGGGGAGUGCCCGCAAGGGAACGGGUGCACAGGUGCUGCAUGGCUGUCGU
rnacentral:rRNA from 1 species